rnacentral:rRNA from 1 species
UGAUCCUGGCUCAGGACGAACGCUGGCGGCGUGCCUAAUACAUGCAAGUCGAGCGGACAGAUGGGAGCUUGCUCCCUGAUGUUAGCGGCGGACGGGUGAGUAACACGUGGGUAACCUGCCUGUAAGACUGGGAUAACUCCGGGNAACCGGGNCUNAUACCGGAUGGUUGUUUGAACCGCAUGGUUCANACAUANAAGGUGGCUUCGGCUACCACUUACAGAUGGACCCGCGGCGCAUUAGNUAGUUGGUGAGGUAACGGCUCACCAAGGCNACGAUGCGUAGCCGACCUGAGAGGGUGAUCGGCCACACUGGGACUGAGACNCGGCCCAGACUCNUAGCGGGAGGCAGCAGUAUGGGAAUCUNCCGCAAUGAAANAAAGUCUGAACGGAGCAACGCCGCGUGAGUGAUGAAGGUUUUCGGAUCGUAAGAGCUCUGUUGUUAGGGAAG